GACGAACCACACGAACGUUAUUCGGAAUUACUGGGCUUAAAGGGUGCGUAGGCGGCGUGGUAAGUUGGGUGUGAAAUCCCUCGGCUCAACCGAGGAACUGCGCCCAAAACUACCAAUGCUUGAGGAAGAUAGAGGUAAGCGGAACUUACGGUGGAGCGGUGAAAUGCGUUGAUAUCGUAAGGAACACCUGUGGCGAAAGCGGCUUACUGGGUCUUUUCUGACGCUGAUGGCACGAAAGCCAGGGGAGCAAACGGG
rnacentral:rRNA from 1 species